rnacentral:rRNA from 1 species
GAUGAACGCUGGCGGCGUGCCUAAUACAUGCAAGUCGAGCGAACGGACGAGGAGCUUGCGUCGCUGAUGUUAGCGGCAGACGUGAGAGAAACGCGUGGAUAACCUACCUAUAAGUCUGGGAUAACUUCGGGACACCGGCGCUAAUACCGGAUGAUCUUUUGCACCGCGUGGUUCAAAAGUGAAAGACGGUCUUGCUGUCACUUCUCGAUGGAUCCGCGCUGCAUUAGAUAGUUGUUAAGGUCACGGCUUACCAAGGCAACGAUGCAUAGCCGACCUGAGAGGGUGAUCGGCCACACUGGAACUGAGACACGGUCCAUACUACUACGGGAGGCAGCAGUAGGGAAUCUUCCGCAAUGGGCGAAAGCCUGACGGAGCAACGCCGCGUGAGUGAUGAAGGUCUUCGGAGCGUAAAACUCUGUUACUAGGGAAGAACAUAUGUGUAAGUAACUGUGCACAGCGUGACGGUACCUAAUCAGAAAGCCACGGCUAACUACGUG